rnacentral:rRNA from 1 species
UACGAAGGGGGCGAGCGUUGUUCGGAUUUACUGGGCGUAAAGGGCGCGCAGGCGGCUUAUUUUGUCAGGCGUGAAAGCCCCGGGCUUAACUUGGGAACUGCGUUUGAUACGGAUGGGCUAGAGUUCGGGAGAGGAGAGUGGAAUUCCCAGUGUAGAGGUGAAAUUCGUAGAUAUUGGGAAGAACACCGGUGGCGAAGGCGGCUCUCUGGACCGAUACUGACGCUGAGGCGCGAAAGCGUGGGGAGCAAACAGG